rnacentral:rRNA from 1 species
AACGAACGCUGGCGGCAUGCCUAACACAUGCAAGUCGAACGAACCCUUCGGGGUUAGUGGCGCACGGGUGCGUAACGCGUGGGAAUCUGCCCUUUGCUUCGGAAUAACUCAGGGAAACUUGUGCUAAUACCGGAUGAUGUCUUCGGACCAAAGAUUUAUCGGCAAGGGAUGAGCCCGCGUAGGAUUGGGUAGUUGGUGGGGUAAAGGCCUACCAAGCCGACGAUCCUUAGCUGGUCUGAGAGGAUGAUCAGCCACACUGGGACUGAGACACGGCCCAGACUCCUACGGGAGGCAGCAGUGGGGAAUAUUGGACAAUGGGCGCAAGCCUGAUCCAGCAAUGCCGCGUGAGUGAUGAAGGCCCUCGGGUCGUAAAGCUCUUUUACCAGGGAUGAUAAUGACAGUACCUGGAGAAUAAGCUCCGGCUAACUCCGUG